rnacentral:rRNA from 1 species
UACGAAGGGGGCUAGCGUUGUUCGGAAUUACUGGGCGUAAAGCGCACGUAGGCGGAUAUUUAAGUCAGGGGUGAAAUCCCGGAGCUCAACUCCGGAACUGCCUUUGAUACUGGGUAUCUUGAGUAUGGAAGAGGGUAAGUGGAAUUGCGAGUGUAGAGGUGAAAUUCGUAGAUAUUCGCAGGAACACCAGUGGCGAAGGCGGCUUACUGGUCCAUUACUGACGCUGAGGUGCGAAAGCGUGGGGAGCAAACAGGG